rnacentral:snRNA from 1 species
AUACUUACCUGCCAGGAGAGAUACCAUGAUCAUGAAGAUGGUUUUUACAGGGUGAGGGUCAGGCUCAUCCAUUGCACUCCAGAUUUCCCCAAAGGUGGGACACUCAGCUGUGGUAGUGGGGGACUGCGUCCAUGCUCUCUCCUU